AAAGCAAUUAUCGGAACCAUUAAGAGCAACAAAUGAAAAACAAAACGCCAAAUUCAGAUGGGGAAGAAGGAAGUCCAUAAAUAAACAGUUUGAUCUGGCAAACAGUCUUGAAACAACAGUUGAAAACACACAAAGAAAGGUGGACAAGGGAAAAUACAAGGACUUUGACAAUUUACACCUAAACAAAUUAAACUUAAAAAUCAUUUUGAUACAGGAGAGACUAUAUUAUUCUAGUCAGUUUCCUGCCCCAGAUCAAAAACACAGUUUUGUAAGGGAAAAUUUAUUUGCGAAAUUUACUUCGCACCUAAGGUUGGGAACUGCCCAGGGUCUCCAAUGGAUGGGGCUGCAACAUUGCUCAUCGGGCUGCCACUGUAUCCUCCCCUUGAACCACGUCCACGACCCCUUCC
rnacentral:lncRNA from 1 species